AAUAUUGGUCCACCCGUUUCAACAAGGCGAUCUUACAGCUCUAGUUAUUAUCACUGUCUUUUUUGUAUCAGACACGAGAAAUUGCAGGUGCAGACCGUAGUCUCGUCUUUUGCGCCCUGGGUACCAGUGGUGGUUGGCGACGCGCUCUCUACACUGCCUCUUUGCACCUAAUCACGCCUCAUCACGAGCUCCGCAAAGGCCUGCGUCGCUGUCCGUCCACGACGUCUAACUGUCGAUCAUGUGACACACGGUUGGCAGCGAAACAUUGACCCCGCUAUCGCGCACAAGUCAGCGCGGUCCUCCGCUCAGACUGGGUUGUCCUCGAGAGUUUGCUGGGCGUCCUCUUCUCAACAUGCGUCGCAGUGGUGGCAGAUGAAUAACGGCUCACCAUCACCACCCGCUAUGCGACACAGAUAAGCAACCCCCGAAGCAAUCAUGUCCGGAGUCUCUGGGUUAAAUUAAAUUGGAAAUUAAGUGUCUCCACUCGCCAUACAAACAGGAUGCGAUGGUACUGUCUUUUAGCUUCUAGGUAUACUACCGGCCGGCACGUACGCUGUUUCACAGACACUGCUCUGGAGGAUCUGAUGGCCAUCAUCCUUUGCGGAAGUCACAGAAGGGCUUUUUUUUGGUUGCUCAGGGUCUCUGACCAAACGGGGGCACCAUACAGGGCCAUUAAUCGCACGACCCCCAUGUGCGCCUGCAGAAUGCCUUCGGGCCAUUUAGAUUAGACAAAAUUGCGGCAUUGUUAUGCCGUGUCGUUGCAGCAUUGAUAUACCGAUAUUAAUGCCGCAAUGUGGGCAUGGAAGAAGCCCAGAUACCGCAUGGUCGGCUUGAUCGCAAUCUGAACUCCGCCAUCUGUAACCUGGAGAACUAUGAUGGUAAACCAGCUAAACUAUAGGAAAUAUAGAAAUGAUGACGAAACAAAAAUUGUUCAGUCUGAUGAGCAUUUUCUCUUGAGAUAUAAAAAUCGAAGAUUUGGAAUACCUGAUGGCAGACCCAUGAUGGUUCAGCUAAACUGUAUGAAAUUUGGAAAUGACGCCUUAACAAAAGUUGUUCAGCCUGAUGAGAAUUUUCUGUUGAGAUAUAGAAAUAAAAGAUCUGGAACGUCUGAUGUAGACCCAUGAUGGUCCAGCUGAACUAUAGGAAAUACAUAAAAAACGCCCUAACAAAAGUUGUUCAGCCUGAUAAGCAUUUUCUGUUGAGAUAUAGAAAUCAAAGAUCUGGAACAUCUGAUGUAGACCCAUGAUGGUCCAGCUGAUCUAUAGGAAAUAAAGAAAUGACGACUAAACAAAAAUUGUUCAGUCUGAUGAGCAUUUUCUGUUGAGGUAUAAAUAUCGAAGAUUUGGAACACCUGAUGCAGACCCAUGAUAAACUAUAUAUUGUUCAGGUAAACUAUAGAAAUUGUGAAUAUCUAGCCCUUGUAAGUUAGAAGAUACUUUGCCUCCUAUUUAUCUCAUCGUCUAUUUAUAUCUGCGUUUUGAGAAACUGUUUGAUACAGGGUGUAGAAGAAACAAUGGAAAUGUAAAGUAGACGUGGCAUGCGUGUUAAAAUUAAGCAGAGCACCUCAUACCGUGUUACUUAGUCGUACCGAGUUAAUUAGAUCGUCUUACGCCGUUCUUUUUUAAAUUAGUUUCACCACCUUAUUGUUUCAUGUAACACUGCAAGAAUGAUGUGUAACCUGGUCCGCUAUAGUGUGGAACCGGCAUGUAUAUAGCACAAUUUCGUGCUAAAUUCGAUUUCUUUUGUCUCUUUAACAGAAACAGUUAAUUACUAAAUCUAAACCACAUUCGUGCCUUCUACAUACCAGAUAGUUAAACUAACAGUUAUCUGCUUCGCGUACAGUCAACAACACAGCCACAUCUGAACCUAAAAAUAACACGAAUAUAGUUUUAUUUUACAAUCAUAAUGAAUGUCACUGUCUUAUUACUAUCGAUACCUAGCGUGGAGCAGCUGAACUUUCAAGACAAACAGGCUGUUCGAGCUUAUGCUCGUUCGAGCCAUGCCCCAUUGCUUCGUUCCGCUCGAACACGUUGACGUCCGUCGAAGGACCAACGCAAAACGACGUAGAGAUUUUGACGUACGUCACCGCAGGUUAGUGUCAAAACUUAUAGCUGUUGACUUUAUACUUUGUAUACUACCUACAGCAAAGUAAACUGUUUUGUAUACAUAGAGUAUUUUAAUUUUGCAGUUUACUUGUAGUGCACAUAUUUAAUUGGAGAAUUUAUUAUUUGGUAUGCUAUGUUAAAAUUUGGUAAGCAAAAAUAAGUUAGCCUUGUGAUUUGGUAGGUAACAUGCGGCAACCAUUGUUCUGCAUACAAUCAUAAUAUUGGUCAGCAAUAUAAAUAUAAGCAGAUCAAUAGAUCAGAUCAAAAUAAUUAUUUGGGCAGCAAGAUUCAUCAGCAACUUCAUUGGGUUCGGCUAGGUUUUCACCAACCCCAUUGGGUUGCCGUGAGAGCAGGAGGUGCAAGGCGGCGUAGCUCUCCUGCAAGAGGGGGUUAGGGGUAGCACCCCGCAAUAAAAAACCAAGGAUAACAAAUAUAGGCUGUGUCGGUUAGGUAAAGUUAAGCUUAUGAACACACAAACUGUGUAAUUAGGUAGCUCACAUGACCGUGCAGUUAACCGUUGAGGAGUUCUUUUGUUAGGGGUUUGCCCGGAGUGUGAGUGUCAAACCAAUUUAAUUUAAUAUUUGCUGGCCAUAUUUUGCUGGUUGGACAAUUAGUUAUUUUAGCUAAACUAAUAUUUUUUUGCUCGCUAAAAUACGAAUACUUUGCUGACCGUUUACAUACCAUCCUAUUUGUGUUAUGUCACGCACAUGACAACUACCGCGAAUGCGUUACUCACAACUCCCUUUUAUGCCUCUUGUGCACCGGCCAAGAUUCACUGCCAUAUAAAAGGGAUGAUGGAUUCGUAGAAGUAUCCUUUCAGCCUGUCUGGCAAUGGGAUCGCAAUCGCAAAUGACACCAGUUAGCUCCCGCCACUUUGCACACGCUGCAGCUAUGCGACCCUUGAUCUCGUCAUCGAUUCGAUAUCACCGGACGCACAAAGUCUUUCUUCUUUGUCUUCUCCUAUGCCUACGGGCGGAGACAUUUCGGGCCACGUUCUAUGUCUUGGCCACGUUUAGUUUCAGACCGCUGUUUUCAAGCGACUCAUUUGUGCAUUUCCCUUUAUCUGCAUUCGAUAGCACACAUGGGCAACCAUGGCAGCUGCUCGUUAAAUCAUUGCAGUAAACUGUUGAAGAGUUCUCACGUCUGGAGCCCUUCUUGGGUGCACUAUCAGGUCACACUUGUCAUAACAAUGCAUUAUCAUCCAAAAUAAACGAUAGUACAAAAUUUGACCUCAAUGAGUUGAAGGUUUAUCUGCUUCAUCAAUUUUGAUGAAAGAUAUGUAGCGGGAGCGAGGUAAUUAUGCUCGACCGCCACAAAGGGAAAAUCUUUCCGCAAGGCUAGGUGUUGCGCCUGGAGAACCGCACGGCUUCGGCGGUGUCAUGUCGGAAGUUGUGUGAAUUUUAUUUAUUCCGAGUCUCUUUGCUAGUCUGCUGAAUAGAUUGGACUCGAACUGGCGACCUUGAUCAGUUGUUAUUGUAACUGGACAUCCGAAACGCGAUAUUGAUCCGGUCACCAAUGCAUUACAUACAUUUUCGGCAGUCAUUUGCGUUAUUGGGUAUGCUUUUGGCCAUUUUGUACUCCUGUCUGUAUUUGAAUUCUUGAAUGGUAGUGGCUCCACAAUAUCAAUGUGAACUGAACAUGCUCAAAUCUCUCUGAUUUGAGCAUGUUCUGAAACGAGCGUAAGGGUGCCUGUGUAUUUUGGCUUGCUGACACGGGAUACAUGAUCUAGUCCGUAUGAUGUUGUCACAUCUUUGUUUAUGGAUGGCCAAAAAAAUCUGUCUGUCAUCAUUUUCCUUGUGGCUCGCGUUCCUGGGUGGCUGAAUCCGUGAACUGCGUUGAAAGCUGUUUGACGGUGCUGAGAUGGUAAAUAGGGUCUCGGUUCUUUGUUGGUGGUUUCGCAUAAUAUCUCUUGCUCCGAUCCAGGGAAUUGAUAUCGCUUAAAUAAAAAAAAAUCCGGUUUCCAUGAUUUUCUUAAUUUCUUCGUCAUCAUCCUAGUCUUACUACCUAAUCGUAGUCGAUAUAGCUCGGGAAAGAUUAAUAUGUCGGGAUCGUCUUAAUUCUUGAGAGAGCGUCGGGAACACAGUUUUCUGAGCCAGAUAUGUGCCUGAUUUCCGUACAAAAUUGUGAGAUGAAAUCAAGAUGACGUAAGCGGCGUGUUGUAUCGUUCGAGCUUGAUUUGCUCAUUGCGAAUGUCAACGGCUUAUGGUCAGUGUAAACUAUUAAUUCUUUGCCUUCGAUUUGUAUAUUGCUAACAGUUCCCUAUCGUAGGUACUGUAUUUUUGCUGUGCCGCACUCAGACUUUUGUAAAUAAAUCCGAGGGGCUCCCAUGUGCCUUCAUUGUUUUCUUGUAAUACGCCGCCGGUGCAUGUCACGGAACAGUCCGUCAUAAAGGCGAGCGAUGUCGUCAGAGAUGGAUAAUGGAGGGUAACAGCGCGUUUGAUGCUUUCAUUACAUUAUUAUUUUCUGACUUUUCCGUCCAUGGAAUUUUCCUUAUAUCGUUUUUCUUUGAAUCGUGAAGAAAAUAGCUCACGUUGAUACUCGGCUGCUUGCGGGAGACAGGAUCGGUAGAAAUUAAUUAUUCCAAGGAAUCGUAUUCACGAAUUGAAUUGUAUUUAAAUAACAAUAUUUACAUACAUAGUUGUUAAAUAAAAGCUUGUUAAAAAAAGUCGGUAGAAAAGCGAUAUUUUCUGAUAUUUUGUUGCAUGAGUAAGAUGUAAUUUAGAAAACCGGUCAAGUGCAAGUUGAACUCGUGCGAAGAGGAUUGUGUAAAAUUUAUAGAAUUCUUGUAUAAUUUUAUGUAUGACAGAAUAUUUUAAAAUAAAACUAACAUAAUGACAGCGUGCAAAUUUAAAACCACUAUCGUCAUCUACGCGUUUUAAAAAAUAUAAACAACACGUGUAAAUUUAGUGUCACUAGCGAGAAAAAUGAAUAGAUGACUCUAUUCAUUUUUCUCGUAUUAAUAAUAUUUUUUAUCUAAUCUAAUCUAAGUAAUCUUUUUUCAUGAAUAACAUCGAAACUAUUUAUUUACAAUAAUAACAAAACUAUAUUUGAUAGAUUCUCUUAAUAUCCCUUUUAUUUACUAUAUGACACAAGGUUUGCAAACCUUUUUUUCUUCUUUUUAUUUUAAUUUACCCCCUUUCGUACUAAAAUCAUCAUCCUCAAUCAUUUCGUAUUAAAAUCGAAAAUCAACCUUUCGUACUAAAAAUUGUUGGCGUUAAAAUACUAGAAAUAAUUAUUGAACAGAAAAAAAAAAUUCAAACGCCAUCCAGUAUGUAAUGGCAAAAUAUCACGACUGAACUGUCAUCUAGCCUCCGGUAUACCGUACUAAAUAUAAUGUAAAGCGACAUCUGGCAAGUAGUAGCGUAACUAUUAUGCCAACUCCACACUAUCGUUGAACGUCGACGCGAAUGCUUGGCGACUAGUGUAGCCGAUGCGAAUGCGUGACAAUUGCGAUUUGAGUGAUAUUAUUUACAACCAAAAACCAGAAAUGUAUACUGAAUCCACCAGUUUAGCACUGUUCGACGCACAGAUAUAAGAAUGUAAUGUUCUUAUAACUGUGGUUCGACGACAGUGAGAAGCUGGCAUUAUGUAGUGCUUUUAUUUACUACUGCAAUGAAAAACCAGCAAUUUAUGGAUAGUGUGGAACCGUCGACAUCCGUUCUGUAAGUAAAUCUCACAGACCAUUUAGGCUAUGGUCUGUAGUAAACCUCAAUGCUGUAAACUAGCCUGUCAACAAAGUGAAGAAAAUGGAUUUUUGAGGAAAUACCAUGGAUUUAGUAAGUACUUCGUGCAGGGUACCUACUAAUUCCAUGCGAAAUACAUUGUUUUGCCAUUGCAAUACCAAAAAUUUAUUGGUCAAAUUGGUUGAUAAACAGGAGACAGAAGGCUCUUUUAAUUUUACUUCAAGAAAGUAAAACUGUAGACUGUAAUUACGGCUAUCCACGGAAAUAGUUUAAAUCGCGUUAGAAAUCACCACUGAAAUAAAAAUAAGUUGGGAGAUUCCUUAAUAUUUAUUUUUGUCAAGUUCAAUAACAAGGAUAUUUUAUAAUUAUAUUGGUAUUCAUUAAGUAGGUAAUUUCUACUAAAAAUCACGAUUGUGUGAAUAAUAAAAACAAGCACAUUCAUCAAUUACAUUAGUCAAAUUAAUAUCCUAUGUCAAUAAUAAAUCAAAAAUAUUACAUAAAAUGCAUUUCAUAACUGAAACAAUGUUAAAUAUAACAAAUUGCAUUACUUUAUGAAUCUAUGCAAUCACAAAGAUUACUAAAUCUGGGGAUAAUUAA